CCUACGGGUGGCAGCAGUGAGGAAUAUUGGUCAAUGGGCGCGAGCCUGAACCAGCCAAGUAGCGUGAAGGAGGACUGCCCUGCGUGUUGUAAACUUCUUUUAUAAAGGAAUAAAGUGAGGCACGUGUGCCUUGUUGUGUGUACUUUAUGAAUAAGGAUCGGCUAACUCCGUGCCAGCAGCCGCGGUAAUACGGAGGAUCCGAGCGUUAUCCGGAUUUAUUGGGUUUAAAGGGAGCGUAGAUGGGUUGUUAAGUCAGGUGUGAAAGUUUGGGGCUCAACCGUAAAAUGGCAAUUGAUACUGGCAGUCUUGAGUUCAGUUGAGGUAGGCGGAAUUCGUGGUGUAGCGGUGAAAUGCUUAGAUAUCACGCAGAACUCCGAUUGCGAAGGCAGCUUACCAA
rnacentral:rRNA from 1 species